rnacentral:lncRNA from 1 species
GAAUUUGUUGGCCUCGAGGAUUGUCCCAGGAAGCACUUCUGAUGACAACAUAAUGUUGGGCCUUGGGAACAUGGUAAGCUACUUAUAUCACAAUUUUUAUCCAUGUAGGCUUGUUUUUGUGAUUCUUGUACUACCACUGAUCCAGCUAUGAUUUCUUAUACUCAUCCUUUAAUCCUGCUUAAAUUAUAGUACUAAGGUGAUUGUACUUUAAAAGGUCUCGAACUUGUGCAGGUAACCAGCAUAAAUAUAUUGUAGCACAUUGCUGUCAUCAGCCACUCAGUGCCCGCCGGGUGACGCUCUGCAGCAACGGUGCACGCUGCCGGCACCAUAUGAUAGCUGUGGUAAUCGACGAUGGGAAAGAAGCAGGGGUGGCGGGAUCAUCACCGGCGGGGUCGUCAGGGAGAAAGUGGAGGCAGAUAAGAAAGGAACGGGCUCGACCGGGUGUGAAAAGGAGAACGAGAGAGAUAGCGAUGAUGUGGUGCUGCACCACUGCUCUCCUACUGCUAGCCGAAUUUUGAUAUUGUUGCUGCUAUCUGAAUUUCGCAUACACAUGGCGAGGUGUUUGAUGUUGGCCGACGUCGCGCCUGUUGCGAGGGGGAUUUCAUCGUUUGGGAAUCUCCUGGGAGAGGUGCUGCCCUGCGAGGUAAGAGGCAUCCAUCUCCAUGUGCUCGACGGUCUGUGUCUGGAAAGAAUUUCAUUAUGCAAAUAAUUAUUAUUUUUCUCCGAGAAAGUUACAACAAUCUUUUUCUAGAAAGAAUUUUAUUCUGCAAAUAAUUCACACAUCAUAGCAUAUACAUCAUUAAGGAAUUAUCUUCCAUAUAAACCAACACUACCUGUUUCAUGUCACUUCACAAGUGAGUAAACUAGAUCUUGGGACUGCAGUAACACCAUAUAUCUGAGUGUGUAUCCUAAAUGUUGUCUAGGCCAUAUGAUAGAAAGACAAUAGUUGCAUGAUGCAAGGAUUAAAAGCCUAGAAAAGUUUCAUUCUGCCUAGCUAACUUUUUAGCACUUAUGUAGAAUUCCAAAAUGUAGCAUUAUUUUCUUGCAGUGUAACCAACGUCUAUGGACCCGUCAAAGGGUCAUGCUGCGUGUGGUUAUGGCUGCAUUGCGUGGAAGGUGUAAAUGGAGAGCUGAAAGCAGAAGCACAUAAGAUGAUGUACAAUAUGAGGAAUGAUGGUAAAGGCUGCAAGUG